rnacentral:rRNA from 1 species
UACGUAGGCAGCAAGCGUUGUUCGGAGUUACUGGGCGUAAAGGGUGCGUAGGCGGCCGUGUAAGUGUGGUGUGAAAUCUCCCGGCUUAACUGGGAGGGUGCGCUACAGACUGCAUGGCUAGAGUGUGGGAGAGGAAAGUGGAAUUUCCGGUGUAGCGGUGAAAUGCGUAGAUAUCAGGGAGAACACCCGUGGCUAAGGCGGCUCUCUAGUACGGUACUGACGCUGAGACGCGAAAGCGUGGGGAGCGAACAGG